rnacentral:lncRNA from 1 species
UCACCUUCUUGCGCCUGGUGAACGAAGGGGCAGGGCGGGUAGGUCUCAGGUCAAACAUCGCAUCUGCAAUCGAAGAAAAAAUGUUGAUCAAAGAUCAAGCAGCGAACAAAAACGCCAGUAAUGAACAGUGUUCAGAUGAAGUAAACAAGCGCAACGUGAUUACCAGAAGGUUCCAGGAAAACAUGGGUCGCACCAAAGCGGGUGUAGACAGGGUCCUGCUUGAGCCUCAUCCUGGAGCACUGCCUGAAGAAAGGAAAUAAAACGAUUGGACAGUCAGAAACAGGAACCAGAUCAAAUGGAGAGGAAACCCAAUCAGAUGAGUGACUUGCUCCGUAUCGAACAUGCAUGAAUCGAACGAAACUACACGGUUUGCAACAACAAACCAAAACUAACAAGGAAAAUAACCUCGGAUCCAAGGAAACACACCAACGAAACCCUUCUGUGCUUGCAAGAGAUGCUAAUCCGAGACGAAAUCGGUUCACCGCACCAGCUAAUCGGGGAGAAACACGCCUGGAUCCAACGUUUUUUUGACACACGCGAGACGAGGUAGUCGGUCUUCCGCGAAAAAAUCAGAUCAAAACGCAGCGAGUACGGGAGGAAAUCCUGUCAUCAGAAGCCAUGUUCGGGGGAAACACUCUUGGAUCCAACGAUGAAGAGGAAAUCGAACAACUGGAUGCCCUCUUCGGGGGAAACCCCGCUCAGAUCCAACGGUAAAACCAGGCGAAACGAGAUCGGUUUUCCUAAAGACAUG